rnacentral:rRNA from 1 species
GAUGAACGCUGGCGGCGUGCCUAAUACAUGCCAGUCGAGCGAACGGACGAGAAGCUUGCUUCUCUGAUGUUAGCGGCGGACGGGUGAGUAACACGUGGAUAACCUACCUAUAAGACUGGGAUAACUUCGGGAAACCGGAGCUAAUACCGGAUAAUAUUUUGAACCGCAUGGUUCAAAAGUGAAAGACGGUCUUGCUGUCACUUAUAGAUGGAUCCGCGCUGCAUUAGCUAGUUGGUAAGGUAACGGCUUACCAAGGCAACGAUGCAUAGCCGACCUGAGAGGGUGAUCGGCCACACGGGAACUGAGACACGGUCCAGACUACUACGGGAGGCAGCAGUAGGGAAUCGUCCGCAAUGGGCGAAAGCCUGACGGAGCAACGCCGCGUGAGUGAUGAAGGUCUUCGGAUCGUAAAACUCUGUUAUUAGGGAAGAACAUAUGUGUAAGUAACUGUGCACAUCUUGACGGUACCUAAUCAGAAAGCCACGGCUAACUACGUG